AGUGUUGUUAUUUUAGGAAUGUAGUGACGACUAAUGGACAUAUCACAGAUGGCAUCAAUUAACACAGUGUCAGAGAUUAUGAAGAAGUAAGUACAUAAUUAUAAAAAUUUCUUACACUUUCAAAACUGCAGCAUGAUGGAUAUUUUUUAAACUUGUAAUAUUAUUGUAGUAAAGUUAACUAGGUUCAAUUAAUAUCAAAUAAUGAGUGACACUGUUUGACAGAGUAUUAUAAUUUGUAGCAAAUGGAGUAGUAGUACAGAGGUUUGUAAGAUUUCUUGGAUGCAGUUUGAAGAUGAUGAAGUGAUGAAAGAUCCAGGAUCCAGAUAUAUUCUUCUGGUGCUCAAAGAUAUCUGGCUGCACUACAUUUGCUAUACAAAUUAUGACAGAAGUUUAGACUUGACUUGUGAAAUGAUAAAGAGCACAUUGAAAAAGAAGUUGAACAAAAAGUGAGAUUAAUGCAGAAACAAUUAAAGCUGCAGUGAGUGAGAACCAUUCACAGAAGAAUAACAAACUUAUCUAUAUGAUAUAUGCAACAAUAAAAAUGAUAUGUAUUUUUA